ensembl:lncRNA
UCUAUACUCUGUUCAGCCUAAAAUACACCAUGUCAUGGCAGAUCGGUACAACAGACGCCCUGACGAUUUCAUUUUUUUAAACGUUUGUGAAGGUGUGACUGGCCCGCUCUGCAAAAAGUGUUUAGUCAGAUUGACAAAUCUAUCCAGAGAGACAGCGUCAGCAAGGCUUACGGGGCUGUUAGAAAACGUCUUGUUUACGAUAAUACACCGAGCGGUGUGCAACCUGGUAUAUCUACUACCAUGUGUAGACCGAAAAUAAUUCACCCCUCAAUCAUCUAAAAGAAUGACAGUCUCUGAAAUCUCAGGGACCCAGGGGGGAUGGACCCCGCCCACUUCUCCUUCACCUCCAGCUCUGAUGGUUCACACCCCACCUCAGACUCCGCCUCCCGGGCCGACGGCCACACAAGAAAAAAAAGAAGAAAAGAAGCUCUGUGAACCUCACGAGGUGUUUAAGGAUACUGCACGGUUCCUAGAAUACCUUAGAAUCGGGGUGCUACAUCUGUUGAACAAGGUCUGGGUUAAAUAUAAUAUAGAGAUCUGCUACGGCUGUCAAACAAAUAAUCCCAGUCAGAAAAACCAUCUGUGUUUAUAUCCAUGUGACUGGUUCUACGAACUACACUUUGAUCCGCUGAUGAAAAGGCUCUGGAAUGACAACUUCAUAUCCGCCAUCCUCCUGUUUAUGGAUAUGAAUGACCUUCAGGUCGAUGCAGACCGCAUCCAGGGGGGUGCGGAAGUACUUCUUGACGAGCUGAAAUCUGGAGGCAAUGCGGCUGAAAGUAUCCAGAAAAUGUAUGAUACACUGAUCGGGGAAGAUGAACUCAAAAUGAACCAACUGAAAAAGCUUGGCAGGUUGUGGGGAGAAGUAUCAAACCCGUAUGAAGCAUGGGAGGUACCCGAUGAUGAUGAUGAUGAUGAUGCGACAGACAUUGAUGUGUAAAAACAAUCUAACAUGCUAAAAACAAAAACAAAAAAAUGAAAUCGAAAAUGAAUGAAGUUCUUGAGUGUUUUUAUAACUGAAAAUGUAUUUUUGCUUUUGCAAUGGGGCGAAAUACUACUAUACUAUCAAUCUGCUUGUCACAUGUUGUACAAGAGAAAUAAAAUAUGUUGUAACGAA